rnacentral:rRNA from 1 species
UAGGAAUCUUCCACAAUGGACGAAAGUCUGAUGGAGCAACGCCGCGUGAGUGAAGAAGGGUUUUGGCUCGUAAAGCUCUGUUGGUAGUGAAGAAAGAUAGAGGUAGUAACUGGCCUUUAUUUGACGGUAAUUACUUAGAAAGUCACGGCUAACUACGUGCC